AGAAGGGCCUUUGCUCAGUGGAAGGACAUCUGCUUUGAAUGCAGAAGGUCCAAGGUUCAAUCCCUGGCCUCUCUA